UUUUUUAAUGGCCGCAGUAUACUAACUGUGCAAAGGUAGCAUAAUCAUUAGUCUUUUAAUUGAAGGCUGGUAUGAAUGGUUGGACGAGAUAUUAACUGUUUCAUAAAAAUUUAUAAUAGAAUUUUAUUUUUUAGUCAAAAAGCUAAAAUAUAUUUAAAAGACGAGAAGACCCUAUAAAUCUUUAUAUUUAAAUUAUUAUAAUUUUAUAGAUUUUUUUUGUUAUAAUAAUUGAUAAUAUUUUAUUGGGGUGAUAUUAAAAUUUAAUAAACUUUUAAUUGUUUAAAUCAUUAAUUUAUGAAUAAUUGAUCCGUUAUUAGCGAUUAAAAAAAUAAGUUACUUUAGGGAUAACAGCGUAAUUUUUUUGGAGAGUUCAUAUCGAUAAAAAAGAUUGCGACCUCGAUGUUGGAUUAAGAUAUAAUUUUAGGUGUAGCCGCUUAAAUUUUAAGUCUGUUCGACUUUUAAAUUCNUNCAUGAUCNGAGUUCAAACCGGCGUAAGCCAGGUUGGUUUC
rnacentral:rRNA from 1 species